rnacentral:rRNA from 1 species
UACGAGGGGGGCGAGCGUUAUUCGGAAUCACUGGGCGUAAAGCGUGCGUAGGCCGUUCUGUAAGUUGGAAGUGAAAGCCCAGGGCUUAACCCUGGAAUUGCUUUCAAAACUACAGGACUAGAAUUCGGGAGAGGAUAGCGGAAUUGUCAGUGUAGCAGUGAAAUGCGUAGAUAUUGACAGGAACACCAGUGGCGUAAGCGGCUAUCUGGACCGACAUUGACGCUGAGGCACGAAAGCGUGGGGAUCAAACAGG